rnacentral:lncRNA from 1 species
CUGUGUGUGCAACUUACCCCCUAAACUACCAAAAAUCGGACAUUUAACCCCUUCUUGACUAACACCGUUAGUCAACGUUAGUUAGUGAUUUUUUCUUUUGUUUUUUUAAUUCUAAUUGUGGGGCCCACCUUCCUUUCUUCUUCUUCUACGCUUCUUCCUCCUCCUCACACUGCAUCUCUCUUUCUCACUCUCACCAAACCGUCAGCGGCGGCGCCUCCCUCCCGGCGGCAAGUAAAUCAAAUACCCAUAACAAGUAAAUCUCCAGGGCAAGAAAAACAGAAAAUCUCAAUUCCUGAAACUCGGACAAGUAACGCUCGGCAGAAGGCAAAAUCACCACAAAAUAAAUAACGAUGGGAAACUCGGAUUCAAAAAGCUUAGAUCUACAGCAGCUAAAAACAGGAUCUUACACACCAACAUUAGUUCAUGCUGACAAGAAAGCUAAUGAAACCAAACUCCAAUGAAAAUGAAAUCAAACUCCAAUAAAAGAAACAAUAACAAAGGAUAUGAUUUGCGGACGGUGGCCAUGAGUGAGGGAUAGAUUUGUUAAAUAACAUUGGCCCAAAAGUGGCCCAAUCUCCUUCGACCUCCGGCGAACAGCGGCUCUCCCUCUCGUCUUGAUUUAGCAAUUGACGGCAGCAGCAGCAAAAGUCGGUCACCGCCGCCUCAUCUCUCAUCUCCAUCUCGGCUCGCUUCUCAGACCGGAUACCCCAGCAACCCUCCUCCUUGGCAACGACAGCCUCCGUCGCUUCCCUCGAUCUCCCCCUUGGCGACGACGAAGCGCCGCCGCCUCCCUCGGUCUCUCUCUCGCCUCUCACAUCACAGAUCCCCCCCUUUCUCCGAACGGUGACUACAGCAGCGACAAGCCGCCGCUCCGCCUUCCUCGGACUCCGAUGGACAAUGACCGCCAGGCCGCCGUCGUUCUCUCCCGUCACACCCUUAGCAAAGCCCAGAUCAGCCUAGGCCAGUCCAAUUCUCUCUUUGACCAUGGCNUAGAUUUGUUAAAUAACAUUGGCCCAAAAGUGGCCCAAUCUCCUUCGACCUCCGGCGAACAGCGGCUCUCCCUCUCGUCUUGAUUUAGCAAUUGACGGCAUCAGCAGCAGCAAAAGUCGGUCACCGCCGCCUCAUCUCUCAUCUCCAUCUCGGCUCGCUUCUCAGACCGGAUACCCCAGCAACCCUCCUCCUUGGCAACGACAGCCGCCGUGGCCUCCGUCGCUUCCCUCGAUCUCCCCCUUGGCGACGACGAAGCGCCGCCGCCUCCCUCGGUCUCUCUCUCGCCUCUCACAUCACAGAUCCCCCCUUUCUCCGAACGGUGACUACAGCAGCGACAAGCCGCCGCUCCGCCUUCCUCGGACUCCGAUGGACAAUGACCGCCAGGCCGCCGUCGUUCUCUCCCGUCACACCCUUAGCAAAGCCCAGAUCAGCCUAGGCCAGUCCAUUUC